rfam:Folsomia candida strain VT population Fcan01_Sc029, whole genome shotgun sequence.
AGUCUCGGGUCUCCCUUCAAGUCGUAUAAAUCUUUCGCCUUUUACUAAAGAUUUCCGUGGAGGGGGACAUUCUUAGGUACUCUUCCAG